GAUAUUCAGAUAUCUGAGUUUAAGGAUUAAAAGGAAAAUACAUACACAAGAACACUGAUUAAGUUGCAGAUCAUGGGUGGUCACCACUAUGGGUCUAUGGCAGCAGGUAUACUACUGCAAAGGGUGCACCCUUACCUGCUACAUUCAGCUAGGUAUGUGUGUGUGUAAUAUAUAUGAAAAGAUCUAAAAUAUAUAUAUUGUUAUAAAAUAUUCUAU
rnacentral:lncRNA from 1 species